rnacentral:rRNA from 1 species
AAGCGGAGGAAAAGAAACCAACCGGGAUUGCCUUAGUAACGGCGAGUGAAGCGGCAAAAGCUCAAAUUUGAAAUCUGGUACCUUCGGUGCCCGAGUUGUAAUUUGGAGAGGGCAACUUUGGGGCCGUUCCUUGUCUAUGUUCCUUGGAACAGGACGUCAUAGAGGGUGAGAAUCCCGUGUGGCGAGGAGUGCGGUUCUUUGUAAAGUGCCUUCGAAGAGUCGAGUUGUUUGGGAAUGCAGCUCUAAGUGGGUGGUAAAUUCCAUCUAAAGCUAAAUAUUGGCGAGAGACCGAUAGCGAACAAGUACAGUGAUGGAAAGAUGAAAAGAACUUUGAAAAGAGAGUGAAAAAGUACGUGAAAUUGUUGAAAGGGAAGGGCAUUUGAUCAGACAUGGUGUUUUGUGCCCUCUGCUCCUUGUGGGUAGGGGAAUCUCGCAUUUCACUGGGCCAGCAUCAGUUUUGGUGGCAGGAUAAAUCCAUAGGAAUGUAGCUUGCCUCGGUAAGUAUUAUAGCCUGUGGGAAUACUGCCAGCUGGGACUGAGGACUGCGACGUAAGUCAAGGAUGCUGCAAAGCAGCUU